UACGUAGGGUGCAAGCGUUGUCCGGAAUUAUUGGGCGUAAAGAGCUCGUAGGCGGUCUGUCGCGUCUGCUGUGAAAACUCAGGGCUUAACCCUGGGCCUGCAGUGGGUACGGGCAGACUAGAGUGCGGUAGGGGAGACUGGAAUUCCUGGUGUAGCGGUGAAAUGCGCAGAUAUCAGGAGGAACACCGGUGGCGAAGGCGGGACUCUGGGCCGAUACUGACGCUGAGGAGCGAAAGCGUGGGGAGCAAACAGG
rnacentral:rRNA from 1 species